AUCUGCCUCAGCCUACGCAGAAUUCUACCCAUCAAGGGACCAACGGAUAUGCAAACCCAUGUAUGAGUGCCAAUAAACCGAGUCAACAAUGCAUUUGAUAACGCUAAAGACACAGACGGAUCCUAAGGUUAAUUUUGCUAAAAACUGGUAGACGCAGCAGAAUCCUCAACUUCAGCACUGACGAACAGUCCAUCAAAUGGCAAUCAAAUCAUCAUCAUCAAGAGUAACAUUAAAUGAGUAUCAAUAUUCACCCAAUUCUCUCCAUCUCCCCAAUCUGAAAUGGUCCACAAGCUUGAAAUGGAACUUAUCCAAGCAUCCAUAUUAGUCCCCAAAGCAAGUUAGAAGAAAAAACUAGGAUUUCGCCAUGAGAGAUGGCUUGCAGUGAGCCGAGACUGUACCACUGCACUCCAGCCUGGGCAACAGAGCAAGACUUCGUC
rnacentral:lncRNA from 1 species